GGAGAGGUGGCAGAGUGGCCGAUUGCACCGGUCUUGAAAACCGGCGUCCCGCAAGGGACCGUGAGUUCGAAUCUCACCCUCUCCG
rnacentral:tRNA from 1 species